rnacentral:rRNA from 1 species
GAUGAACGCUGGCGGCGUGCCUAAUACAUGCAAGUCGAGCGAACAGAUGAGGAGCUUGCUCCUCUGACGUUAGCGGCGGACGGGUGAGUAACACGUGGAUAACCUACCUAUAAGACUGGGAUAACUUCGGGAAACAGGAGCUAAUACCGGAUAAUAUAUUGAACCGCAUGGUUCAAUAGUGAAAGACGGUUUUGCUGUCACUUAUAGAUGGAUCCGCGCCGCAUUAGCUAGUUGGUAAGGUAACGGCUUACCAAGGCAACGAUGCGUAGCCGACCUGAGAGGGUGAUCGGCCACACUGGAACUGAGACACGGUCCAGACUCCUACGGGAGGCAGCAGUAGGGAAUCUUCCGCAAUGGGCGAAAGCCUGACGGAGCAACGCCGCGUGAGUGAUGAAGGUCUUCGGAUCGUAAAACUCUGUUAUUAGGGAAGAACAAAUGUGUAAGUAACUAUGCACGUCUUGACGGUACCUAAUCAGAAAGCCACGGCUAACUACGUG